AGCUCCAAUAGCGUAUAUUAAAGUUGUUGCGGCUAAAGAAGCUCGUAGUUGGAUUUCUGCUGAGGGUGGCUGGUCCGCCCUCUGGGUGAGCAUCUGGCACAGCCUGAGCAUUCUUCUUGAAAGCACAACUGCACUUGACUCUGUGGUGUGGUAUUGAGAAUGUUUACUUUGAGGAAAUCAGAGUGUUUCAAGCAGGCAUUUGCCUUGAUUACAUUCGCAUGGAAUAAUAUUAUAGGGCCUUGGUUCUAUUUUGUUGAUUUCUAGAAUUGAGGCAAUGAUUAAUAGGGAUAGCUGGGGGCAUUCGUAGUUAAUUGUCAGAGGUGAAAUUCUUGGAUGCGUUAAAGACGGACUACUGUGAAAGCAGUUGCCAAGGAUGUGUUCA
rnacentral:rRNA from 1 species